UAUAAUACUAGACUUUUUUAAUAGUUUGAUUUGUUGUUAGAUAAAAUUUCUGGGUCUGCGGUGGUUUGUCUUUUAACUUAAAGUUUUAUUUAAGCUUAGGAUUUUAGUUUAUUUUUUUUUUACAUGUAAAUUUUUAUGUUUAAACAACUAUUUAUGCAGUAUUUAAUUUUAUAUAUUAAUUUACUUUGGAUUUAGGAAUUGAUAAGAGUUUUAAUAAAUUUUGUGCCAGCAAUUGCGGUUAUACAAAUGAUGCAAUUAAUAUUUUUUGGUUAGUAAUUAAAUGUUUAAUUUUAGAUAUAAAUUUAUUAUUAGAUUUUUUGGGUGAAAUUUUAAAUUUGAUAUAAGUUUGUUUAUAUUUUUUGAGGUUAUUAAAAUUUUUUUUAAACUAGGAUUAGAUACCCUAUUAUUUAAAUUGUAAAUAUAUUAUACCUGAUUAUUAAUAGAAUAUGUACUUGAAAAUUAAAGAUUUUGGCGGUAUUUUAGUCCAUUCAGAGGAACCUGUCCUGUAAUCGAUAGUCCACGAUUUACUUUACUUUUUCUUUUGGUUUGUAUAUCGUCGUGGUACGAGUGUUUCAGAAGAAUUUACAAUACUCAAUAAGUAUAAUUAUAUAUGAUUUCAGAUCAAGGUGCAGCUUAUGGGAAAGAAGAGAUGGGUUACAAUAAAUUUAUUUUUGGUUUACUUUUUGAAUAAAAAUAUAUUUGGUAAUAAAUUGGAUUUGAGUGUAAUAAUUUUUAGAUUAUAGUUGUGAUUUGUGGCUCUAGAAUAUGCACAUAUUGCCCGUCGCUCUCAUUUAAUAUGAGAUAAGUCGUAACAUAGUAGGUGUACUGGAAAGUGUAUCUAGAAAGAU
rnacentral:ncRNA from 1 species